rnacentral:rRNA from 1 species
ACUGAACGCUGGCGGCAUGCUUUACACAUGCAAGUCGAGCGGCAGCGCGGGGCAACCUGGCGGCGAGCGGCGAACGGGUGAGUAAUGCAUCGGAACGUGUCCCGUAGUGGGGGAUAACCCGGCGAAAGCCGGACUAAUACCGCAUAUUCUCUACGGAGGAAAGGGGGGGACCCGCAAGGGCCUCUCGCUAUGGGACCGGCCUAUGUCCGUUUAGCUUGUUGGUGAGGUAAUGGCUUACCAAGGCGACGAUCGGUAGCUGGUCUGAGAGGAUGAUCAGCCACACUGGGACUGAGACACGGCCCAGACUCCUACGGGAGGCAGCAGUGGGGAAUUUUGGACAAUGGGGGCAACCCUGAUCCAGCCAUGCCGCGUGCGGGAAGAAGGCCUUCGGGUUGUAAACCGCUUUUGUCCGGAAAGAAAAGGCGCCACCUAAUACGGGGCGUUCUUGACGGUACCGGAAGAAUAAGCACCGGCUAACUACGUGCCAGCAGCCGCGGUAAAAC